rnacentral:rRNA from 1 species
UACGUGGGGUGCAAGCGUUAAUCGGAAUUACUGGGCGUAAAGCGUGCGCAGGCGGUUGUGUAAGACAGAUGUGAAAUCCCCGGGCUCAACCUGGGAACUGCAUUUGUGACUGCACAGCUGGAGUGCGGCAGAGGGGGAUGGAAUUCCGCGUGUAGCAGUGAAAUGCGUAGAUAUGCGGAGGAACACCGAUGGCGAAGGCAAUCCCCUGGGCCUGCACUGACGCUCAUGCACGAAAGCGUGGGGAGCAAACAGG